UCCGGCUGUUGCCUGCGACUGUUGCUGCUGGUCGGCGCCGUCGAAGUAGUCGGAGGCAUUGCCGCGGCAAAUUGGGCACGUGCGAUUCGACUGCACUCACCCGCAGCCAUUUGUCCACGCACUUGGCGUGGAAUUCGUGGGAGCAGGGCAGGACGCGCAGUAGCUGGCGUAGCUCAAAGUCACACAUGCACACCACACAGGAUGAUUGGUCGCCUGGGGGAAAUAUAAGUGGAUCCCGUAUAUGGCAAAUUUUGUACAAUCAAUUUAUUUCAAAAUGUAUAGCAUACUUUCCCGGGCAGAAUUCAAACUGAAUUACGUAUACGCACUGUUGCCAUCGCGGGUGUAACUUCUUCCUACAAUUUUGUUUUCCCUUAUGUAUUGUAUCAAUUUGAUUUAAGAAAUAAUAUAAAAUA